rnacentral:rRNA from 1 species
CUGGUUGAUCCUGCCAGUAGUGAUAUGCUUGUUUCAAAGAUUAAGCCAUGCAUGUCUAAGUAUAAGCGAACUUAUACAGUGAAACUGCGGAUGGCUCAUUAAAACAGUUUGAAUUUAUUUGAUGAAUGUAUGAGAAUACUACUUGGAUAACCGUAGUAAUUCUAGAGCUAAUACAUGCAACGACGCCCGACCGUUUCACUACGGAAGGGCUGUAUUUAUUGGAUACCAAAACCAUCCUUCCCUCGGGAAGUUUUGUUUGAUGAUUCGCAAUAACUGAUCGGAUUGCCACUGUGGUGGCGACAGGUCAUUCAACAUUCUGCCCUAUCAGCUUUCGAUGGUUGUGUAGUGGACAACCAUGGCCAUAACGGGUAACGGAGAAUCAGGGUUCGAUUCCGGAGAAGGAGCUUGAGAAUUGGCUACUACAUCUAAGGAAGGCAGCAAGCGCGCAAAUUACCCAAUCCCGAUUCGGGGAGGUAGUGACAAAAAAUAACAAUACCGGGCCUUUUUGGGCUUGGUAAUUGGAAUGAGGGAGAGUUAAACGGACCAUCGAGUAUCCAUUGGAGGGCAAGUCUGGUGCCAGCAGCUGCGGUAAUACCAGCUCCAAUAGCGUAUAUUAAAGUUGUUGCAGUUAAAAAGCUCGUAGUUGGACUUGUGUGCGCUGUCCGCGGGUGGCCUGCGCCCAAAAGGGCAUUUCGGUUCGGCCCCGGUGGCGCCUUGAAAUCUGCAGCUGGGGGGACGUUGGCCUUAACUGGUCGGCGACCGCACGCCGGCUGCUCGGUUACUGUGAGAAAAUUAGAGUGUUCAAGGCAGGCAUUGGGUGCAAUUGAAUACAUUAGCAUGGAAUAAUAAAAUAUGGCUCCUGCCGUAUUUUGUUGGUUUUGACUGGUGGGAGUAAUGAUUGAUAGGGACGGUUGGGGGUGCUAGUAUUGAGCGGCCAGAGGUGAAAUUCAUGGAUUCGCUCAAGACUAACUUAUGCGAAAGCAUUCACCAAGGACGUCCUCUUUAAUCAAGAACGAAAGUUGGGGGAUCGAAGACGAUCAGAUACCGUCGUAGUCUCAACCAUAAACUAUGUCGACUUGGGAUCGGCGGUAGUUUUUUCAUUAAGACACUGUCGGGACCACGGGAGAAAUCAAAGUGUCUGGACUCUGGGGGAAGUAUGGUCGCAAGGCUGAAACUUGAAGGAAUUGACGGAAGGGCACCACCAGGAGUGGAGCCUGCGGCUUAAUUUGACCCAACACGGGGAAACUUACCAGGUCCAGAGAUGUAGAGGAUUGACAGAUUGAAGCUCUUUCUUGAUCACUUCGGUGGUGGUGCAUGGCCGUUCUUAGUUGGUGGAGUGAUUUGUCUGGUUAAUUCCGUUAACGAACGAGACCUCAGCCUGCUAGUGUA